rnacentral:rRNA from 1 species
GACGGAGGGUGCAAGCGUUAUUCGGAAUUAUUGGGCGUAAAGGGCGUGUAGGCGGCCAGAUAAGUCAGAGGUGAAAGCCCGGGGCUCAACCCCGGAAGUGCCUUUGAAACUAUCUGGCUUGAGUGCGGGAGAGGAAAGCGGAAUUCCCAGUGUAGAGGUGAAAUUCGUAGAUAUUGGGAGGAACACCGGUGGCGAAGGCGGCUUUCUGGACCGACACUGACGCUGAGGCGCGAAAGCGUGGGGAGCAAGCAGG